AGAAGUUUGUUGGCUGAAAGAAAAGCCAAGAAAGAAAAUUCGCCGAUGACCGACAGACUAAUGCUGAAAGCCGUAGCAAUGCAUUAGAAUGAUUAUACAUUAAUUAAAUUAUCAAUUAUUCUUGCACGGGUUACCGCAGUUAAGGAACAGGUCAUUAAUAAUGGGAGGCAGUGGGCGGUGCGUGAGAAAAGGGGGACGGCUUCAACUAUUUUUUCCGAAUUGGGGGCGGCUUUAAACUGAAAAAUAUGUGACAUGGGGCGACCCCAAAUUUUUAAUACUUUCCAACUCAUUUUCAAAAUAUUCCUAUAGUUCCUAUAAUUGUAGUUUCAAUAGUAUAUUACGUAUAUGCAGUUCACCAUAGAAGUCGGAGUAAAUAACAACCAUUUCACAGCGGGCAGAAAAGCACAAUUGUGUUAUAAAUAAUUUGUGGUAAUUCCAGCCAUGUAAUCUAUUGUGUAACUAAUUUUUUAUAAUAGUUUGUGUUAAAUGGCAAAAUCUGUAAAAUAAAAUAAAAUAAAUACCUUGUUAUCAACCA